GCGGUAAUUCCAGCUCUGUAAGCGUAUACCAAAGUUGUUGCAGUUAAAACGCUCGUAGUCGGAAGUUGGCGGGCGACCAGGGGCGUCUUCACGGACGUGUUUUGGUUGGCCGCCUUUGUGGAUGGGGGCCCAGUGGUGCUUCACUGCGCUACUGUGGUCGCUGCCACCGUUUACUGUGAAAAAAUUAGAGUGUUCAAAGCGGGCGUUUGCCAUGAAUACAUUAGCAUGGAAUAAUAGAAUAGGACCUGUUUCCUGUUUUGUUGGUUUGUGAGGAUCGGGUAAUGAUUAAGAGGGACGGUUGGGGGCAUUUGUAUUCCGGCGUCAGAGGUGAAAUUCUUGGAUU
rnacentral:rRNA from 1 species